UCGGGGAGUCAAUCCGAACCCGGCUCAAAUUGCCGACCGCUGCCGUUUCCACUGCCCUUCCUAAACCCUUUCCCGGUGACGCGGCAUCCAUCUCCAUGACCGCCCUCCGGCAACCUCGCCCUCGCUUCCUUCCUGCCGCAGGACGAUCUCCUUCAUGCCAAGCUGGUCAUAUAUCGCUUUUUGUGUGUCCGCCGCGUUGAUGACCAGAAUCUUUGCGUGUUCGCACCUUCCGAGCGAUCAUCGUCGUCAUCGUCACCUCAAAUGAAGGUGCCUUUCACUUGGGAGCUCCUGCGGCUGAUGAUAAGGAAGGAACUUGCGGCAUUGAAUUCUCGCGCCAUUGUUUUCUCAGGAGCAGGAUCAGAGUGCAAGGAAGACGAUCAAAUCUUCCAUGGUGCUGGUCGUUACAUCGGUUCCCGAAACGCCCAUCCGGCCUAAGAAGCCAGAGGUUUUCUUGGUGCCAGAAUGAGCUUUGGGUGUGUAGGUGACUUUCCAUUGAGGAUCAAAUAUUGCGUUUCUAUACAUUUUUAAGGUUCUAACAUGCUUGUCUUAAGAAGCUUGAUGAUCAUGUCCUGCAACUCUUCAGGCCUUGCUAUGAAUAAUUGUUUUAACAGGUCUGGCUAUACUUAACCCAUGCCUAGUUCAUUCUGUUAGAAGUUGAACCUUAGUGACUUUAUGUUUGUUGCAAAUUCAUGGUGAGUCUUUGUCGGUAUAGACCAUAGAAGACUUGAGAUUGUCCUUUCAGAUAACUCAGGUCAUGAACUAUAUGCUUUUUGAGAUCUAGGAGUAGUAAUUUGUGCACCCUAAGCUGAUGGGUUUUUGAGUAGAAAGGGAAAAUCAAUGCUGCCCCUUUGAUGUCGUCUUUUUUGACCCCUGGGCAAAUUUUAAUUUAGUGCCGACCCCAUUUAUCCCAAUUAUCAUAAUUGUCAGGCAUGUCAAUCUUAUAACUGUAAGUGACACUCUUCCCUGCAAUGUGAGAUCCAGAGGAUUGCUCCCAGACCAUGCAAGUGAUCUACCCUUCAGUGAAGCCUGGUCCUUAACAAGGCAGCUGAGGUCUGGCUCGGCUUCAUCCUUGGCUGACUAUGGUAGAUUUGGUUUCAGAGGAACAAAUUUGUCCUCCGCCAUACCCUCACGCUGGCUGUUUUGGCAUGUAUGUAACCAGAUCUUGGGUUGUUUAAACUCUUAGCUUUAGCAUGCACAAGACACAUGUUUGUGCACUUGAUUCUUUUAUUAAUUCUUCUGUCUGCUGUAACAAGCCUUUGUGAUACUGAUAUAACCUUGUUGAUGCUUCAUAUCUAAUGCAAUGAGUGACGGUCCACACUGGACCUCCACAUUCAAGCUCACAAACAAGCUUAGUAAUUAUCAAAGGAAUAGUGAAAUAGAGUACAUGUUCAAUCCUUGAUGAUAUGGAGUGAAAUCUAUUUUGCAGUCUUCUUACCCAAUCCUUGUUGGUUGAAUUAUAAAGUGCAAAAGAGAGAUUCAAGUUUAUCAUUUCCAAAUGCCUGGGAAAAGAAAAACAUCAGAGUUCUUAUUUUGUGACUCCCUUAUAUAUGUUACUUACCAUAAUGGAAUGAGAUGAAUCUUAAUGGUUCAUAACAUUUCAUCUAAUUUGGUUGCUCUUCUCUUUCCUCGUGAUUCCGUGAAACCAAAUCUCAUACAAUUAUGACAAAAGAUGGUAUUCACAUUUAAUUUGAACAUGAUUCUUCAGUUGAUGAACCACAUGGUUUUCAGGAAAGCUUUCAUGUGCAUUUUCACAUGACUCGGCUGUUGACUAAAUCAACUAGAAUUCGGAUUUUGUUUACGGACCAUGAAUACUGAAAAAUGCAUGACAUACAUAUAAUCCAGAACAAUAAUUUUGAUCAAUGUUUUCCUGUUUUCUUAAAGGGAUGGCAACUUUAUCUUGGUUCCUCUCUAUCUUCUCCAACACUAAAAUGUUUGUAUACUCUUUGUUGGUGCAUACUCCUGCCUUGCUCAUAUGGUGAUAAGAACUUGCAGGCAAUCAUUUUGGCUACCUUGAGAAAAUGCAGAGACAUGAGUAGAUUUCACCAAAGAUUUCUGUGAACGUCGAUUGUGUUGACAGAAUCUUGUCGGUGAAAGUAUCAUAUUCCUGGCCCUGCCCAAGUAUAUUUUAAAUGACAGAUAAAAUUGAAUCAUUUUCACUUUGGCAAAAGUUUUGUUCCCUGGUCCCUACUAAGAUAGUCCGGUGGUACCCCCUGGAGACCUGUUUAAAUUCCACAAGGACACGUAUCCUUUAUCGAAAAGUUAUAUUCUGUGACAUGAUUGACAAUGCUUCCUUUACUUAUUGGCAGUAUAUGAAACUUUAGGUAGGGUUUUGUUUUCCUUUCUUCUUCCUGUCUUGGCCCUUGCACUAAUAUUAUCCAUAUUCUUGCCUUUUACUGAAAGAAUUUUGGAAGAUAAUUACAGCAUCAAUCUUAAAUCAUUGGAACUUAAAUAUCAUGUGUAUAUCACUAUUGAUAGGUGCCUAUUGUGGAUUACUCAACAUAUGGUUUCUGUACAAGAUUAAGUGCAUGAGAAGCCAAAAUAUAGAAAUUAAAGUGCUUUGCAAUUUUAUUUAUAUUGCUGGUGUAAGGUGCUUGGUGAGAUCCUAUGUUCAGACUUCUGUCUGAAGUGAAAGGUGGGGGAGUUUUUCCCUUUUUUUCCUUAAAAAUGUAUGACAAACCAAGGUAUGCAAUUUCGUACUGUACCGGAGUUUCGACGUUCACUCGGUACGGUACGAUACUAUAUACCGAGCAGUAAACCGUUCGGUAUACCGCUUGGUAUAUAUAUAUAUAUAUAUAUAUAUAUAUAUAUAUAUAUAUAUAUAUAUAUAUAAUUCGGCGACAUCGCUUCAGUAACGUCACCUCUUUCUUCUCCUAGGCUGGGCAACGUCGUCUCGUUUAUAUAUAUAUAUAUAUAUUUAUUAUUUAUUUAUAAAAGGCAACGUCGCAUCGCCUCGGUGACGUCGCCUUUUCCUUCUCCCACGCAGGGCGACGUCGCCUUUUAUAAUAUAUAUAUAUAUAUAUAUAUAUAUAUUUCGUUCCGUCCGGUAACGGGCGGUCCGUGUACCGGUAAACUGACGGACCGGUACGUAACGCCCGUACCGGGCAGUAUUAUUCGAAAUUGCAUACCUUGUGACAAACAACUUAUUCAUCAUAUGUUAGCUAUUCCAGGUUGUAGAGAAACUGCACCAUCUUGCUGUGUGAUAAUCUAGAUACAUUCUUAGAACAAUUACUACUGUCAGCAAUCCGUUCUUAACCAUUCUUCAUGGCUUAAAAAUAGAAGCUAUUGAUGAAGGUCGACACUGAUUGUUAUCUCUAUUAUGUGAUGAUUGAUUGAUGAUGAUAAUAUGCUGUAGUGGUAUAUGACAUAAAGAUAAAACUUCUUCAAAAUUGUCAUAACAGCUGUUGUUUCAUGGAAUGCCAUCCAUGGAAGAGUAAAGGGAGAAAAGAAAAGGGCAUUAUUGUAGUAACUCUAGAAUUGAAGGGCAAGGAGGUGAGACUACAGUCUAUAAAUACCUACAUCCGAGCACCUGUACAUGCUCUCUAUUAGUUUGCUGUCACUUGCCUCUCCCAUCAUCUCUCUUUCUCUCUACAUCGAUGGAAGGUUUGUGAAUGGCUCCAGUAACAGAGAAGGUAGUGUACAAAGAAAGUCAGAGGGUGAGUAGCCACCUUGGUUAAAAGCUUACUGUGAUCAGUAAGCACCAACACAAGUGUGCUAUCUGAGAGAGGGAGCAAGCUUUUGCUCACUGCAAACAUGCGCACACUAUGUGAUGUUUGCGAAGGUGCUGCUGCAGUCAUCUUUUGUGCCACAGAUGAGGCUGCUCUCUGUGGCCCAUGUGACAAGUUCAAACUUGUAAUAAGUUGGCUAGCAGACAUAUAAGGGUACAGAUUGCAGAACCAAGCGCUGUUGGUCAAUGUGACAUAUGUGAGAAAUCACCAGCUUUCUUUUUCUGUGUAAUAGAUGGAUCUUCACUUUGCAUAGAAUGUGAUGUAAUUGUGCAUGUGGGAGGCAAAAGAUCCAAUGAGCGAUAUCUAUUGUUAAGGCAGAAAAUUGAGUUUUUGGAAGAUAAACCUGGUCACUUUGAAGAUCUCAUGCUGCAGCAUCAUGACAACACCGAAGUUAGGUUGGAGAAUAAUAUCGUACUUCAUAAAAAACAAUUUCUUGAAAACAUUAGAGAGAAGAUGGACCGCUGCAGGAUGCCUCCCGUUUCCAUCUCCAAGCUAGACAUAAAUCAUAACAGGCUUGGUCCUACAUUGUUUGACCUUAAUGCAAGGCCACAUAGAGUACAGGAUCACAUCACUGAUUCCAGCCAGGUACAGGCACUGCAUCUUGACUAUCAGCUUAUUGGAAAAGUAAGAAUUUCAGCUUGGGCAAACACCAAUGAGCCUCUCAAAAGGAAAAAUCAAUUUAAGAAAUAGAGGCACCUUCUAGGAGGUCAUCGGUCUGAACUAGGGAGAGGCCAAUGGCUGCUCGAGCGGUCUAGAGGGAAAGUGAAGUGAUCUAGCAAGUUUUCCAAGGUGGCAGAAGGUGACAUUGUGCAAGCAUAAAAUAAGGUUCUCUUCACCUGAUGUAUGAGUUGUGCUCCUAUCAAAUCGACUCCUGCAUAUGUUUUGAGUUAGCCCUAUAACUGUCUGUUGAUACUAUGGACUCUUUACUGUGCAAGAAGAAUAUAUUGCACUUGCAGUAAGAAAUAAAUUUGUCUCUCUGUCUUUCUUUU